rnacentral:rRNA from 1 species
UUAAAUUGAAGAGUUUGAUCAUGGCUCAGAUUGAACGCUGGCGGCAGGCCUAACACAUGCAAGUCGAACGGUAACAGGAAACAGCUUGCUGUUUCGCUGACGAGUGGCGGACGGGUGAGUAAUGUCUGGGAAACUGCCUGAUGGAGGGGGAUAACUACUGGAAACGGUAGCUAAUACCGCAUAACGUCGCAAGACCAAAGAGGGGGACCUUCGGGCCUCUUGCCAUCGGAUGUGCCCAGAUGGGAUUAGCUAGUAGGUGGGGUAACGGCUCACCUAGGCGACGAUCCCUAGCUGGUCUGAGAGGAUGACCAGCCACACUGGAACUGAGACACGGUCCAGACUCCUACGGGAGGCAGCAGUGGGGAAUAUUGCACAAUGGGCGCAAGCCUGAUGCAGCCAUGCCGCGUGUAUGAAGAAGGCCUUCGGGUUGUAAAGUACUUUCAGCGGGGAGGAAGGGAGUAAAGUUAAUACCUUUNNNNNNNCGGUGGCGAAGGCGGCCCCCUGGACGAAGACUGACGCUCAGGUGCGAAAGCGUGGGGAGCAAACAGGAUUAGAUACCCUGGUAGUCCACGCCGUAAACGAUGUCGACUUGGAGGUUGUGCCCUUGAGGCGUGGCUUCCGGAGCUAACGCGUUAAGUCGACCGCCUGGGGAGUACGGCCGCAAGGUUAAAACUCAAAUGAAUUGACGGGGGCCCGCACAAGCGGUGGAGCAUGUGGUUUAAUUCGAUGCAACGCGAAGAACCUUACCUGGUCUUGACAUCCACGGAAGUUUUCAGAGAUGAGAAUGUGCCUUCGGGAACCGUGAGACAGGUGCUGCAUGGCUGUCGUCAGCUCGUGUUGUGAAAUGUUGGGUUAAGUCCCGCAACGAGCGCAACCCUUAUCCUUUGUUGCCAGCGGUCCGGCCGGGAACUCAAAGGAGACUGCCAGUGAUAAACUGGAGGAAGGUGGGGAUGACGUCAAGUCAUCAUGGCCCUUACGACCAGGGCUACACACGUGCUACAAUGGCGCAUACAAAGAGAAGCGACCUCGCGAGAGCAAGCGGACCUCAUAAAGUGCGUCGUAGUCCGGAUUGGAGUCUGCAACUCGACUCCAUGAAGUCGGAAUCGCUAGUAAUCGUGGAUCAGAAUGCCACGGUGAAUACGUUCCCGGGCCUUGUACACACCGCCCGUCACACCAUGGGAGUGGGUUGCAAAAGAAGUAGGUAGCUUAACCUUCGGGAGGGCGCUUACCACUUUGUGAUUCAUGACUGGGGUGAAGUCGUAACAAGGUAACCGUAGGGGAACCUGCGGUUGGAUCACCUCCUUACCUUAAAGAAGC